UCUGGUACCUGAUGUCUCCAAACUGGUAAACAGGGAGUUACAUUAAUGUUUUAUUUUGCAACACAGUCCACAGCAGGCUGUGCCCACCUGGGUGGCCCCCUGGCUGUAGAAGCAUGCCCAGAUGUGCACAGCAGACAAUGUAAACCUGUUAACGAAGCAGCACGCCUGCAGCUGCGGAGGCUCCCACACCGGGCUGCCAGGAGGCACCGUCGGAGCACGAGCCCCACCGCUGGCCCUUUGGGAAGGAACGACUCCCAAGCAGACGAAUGCACCCGGGACUGGGAUAUAGCAGCAUAUCACGCCUUCCCAGUCUGUGGUGUCUGUCCUGUGUCCUGUGUCCUGUGUCCUGUGUCCGUACUUUUCAUAGAAUCACAGAAUCAUACGCGCAUUUCUACACCACCUGGCAAUGCUGCUUCAUUCUUCCAGGCUUCCGAUUGCAGUUACGGACUCCAGAGCUGAGCUGAAAAGAAGGAUGCUGUCAUCUAGAAUGUAAAAAUAUGCUGCUGAACUGGAAUAUUUGUGUUCUUCAAACCUCGUACUCAAGAUCCAGUAUCUGUUGCCUUUUGCUUUCUCAGUAAAUCUGCGUUUCUGUAAGAGUGUUUUAUAGAUUUUUCAGGAGACUCCAGUGCAGGCUCUGAAGCAUUUGGAUGCUGGAUAGUUGAAGCCUGUGUCCUUUACUCAUUCUUUGAGUUUAUGGACUCGGGGCUUGAGGUUUCGCAUCACAAUACAUGCUAAUUGCUUAGCGUUCCAUCAAAAGAAGUACAAGGCAUUUGGAAAAUAAGUCUAAAUAAAGAAUGCUCACUGUACUUCAAAAUCGGUAAGCUUUUCCUAUGGACUGGUACUUACCAGCUCACCUAUUUGCAAACAGUAGUUUGAUGCAUUUGCAAAUUGAACAACAUGUUUAAAGUAAUUUUAGUUCAGACCUGUUUUCCAGCACGUUUAAAAUUCAAGCCUCCUCGAGAGACAUCGGUAUUCAAGAAAAAACACGUGGAAUUUGAUUUAUCAGACCUUAUCAUGGCCAGACAAUGAUAUGGCAGCAGAAGUCAUAUUCAGAUGCAGAAGAUCGGUGAG